AGUCGCCGCGGUAAUACGAAGGGUGCAAGCGUUAAUCGGAAUUACUGGGCGUAAAGCGUGCGUAGGCGGUGAGUUAAGUCUGCUGUGAAAUCCCCGGGCUCAACCUGGGAAUGGCAGUGGAUACUGGCUCGCUAGAGUGUGUCAGAGGAUGGUGGAAUUCCCGGUGUAGCGGUGAAAUGCGUAGAGAUCGGGAGGAACAUCAGUGGCGAAGGCGGCCAUCUGGGACAACACUGACGCUGAGGCACGAAAGCGUGGGGAGCAAACAGGAUUAGAUACCCCAGUAGUCCCUGUCUCUUAUACA
rnacentral:rRNA from 1 species